CCUACGGAGGCAGCAGUGGGGAAUCUUGCGCAAUGGGCGAAAGCCUGACGCAGCAACGCCGCGUGCGGGAAGAAGGCUUUCGGGCUGUAAACCGCUUUCAGCAGGAACGAAAAUGACGGUACCUGCAGAAGAAGGAGCGGCCAACUAUGUGCCAGCAGCCGCGGUGAUACAUAGGCUUCAAGCGUUGUCCGGAUUUAUUGGGCGUAAAGAGUUCGUAGGCGGUCGAGUAAGUCGGGUGUGAAAAUUCUGGGCUCAACCCAGAGACGCCACCCGAUACUGCUUGACUUGAGUUCGAUAGGGGAGUGGGGAAUUCCUAGUGUAGCGGUGAAAUGCGCAGAUAUUAGGAGGAACACCGGUGGCGAAGGCGCCACUCUGGAUCGAUACUGACGCUGAGGAACGAAAGCAUGGGUAGCAAACAGGAUUAGAUACCCUGGUAGUCCAUGCCGUAAACGGUGGGCACUAGGUGUGGGUUUCUAUUAACGAAAUCCGCGCCGUCGCUAACGCAUUAAGUGCCCCGCCUGGGGAGUACGGUCGCAAGACUAAAACUUAAAUGAAUUGACGG
rnacentral:rRNA from 1 species